rnacentral:rRNA from 1 species
AUUGAACGCUGGCGGCAGGCCUAACACAUGCAAGUCGAGCGGAUGAAGGGAGCUUGCUCCUGGAUUCAGCGGCGGACGGGUGAGUAAUGCCUAGGAAUCUGCCUGGUAGUGGGGGAUAACGUCCGGACACGGGCGCUAAUACCGCAUACGUCCUGAGGGAGAAAGUGGGGGAUCUUCGGACCUCACGCUAUCAGAUGAGCCUAGGUCGGAUUAGCUAGUUGGUGGGGUAAAGGCCUACCAAGGCGACGAUCCGUAACUGGUCUGAGAGGAUGAUCAGUCACACUGGAACUGAGACACGGUCCAGACUCCUACGGGAGGCAGCAGUGGGGAAUAUUGGACAAUGGGCGAAAGCCUGAUCCAGCCAUGCCGCGUGUGUGAAGAAGGUCUUCGGAUUGUAAAGCACUUUAAGUUGGGAGGAAGAGCAGUAAGUUAAUACCUUGCUGUUUUGACGUUACCAAAAGAAUAAGCACCGGCUAACUUCGUG